rnacentral:piRNA from 1 species
UCAAAGAACUCAAUAAGGGUGGAAGCGA